GAUGAACGCUGGCGGCGUGCCUAAUACAUGCAAGUCGAGCGAACGGACGAGAAGCUUGCUUCUCUGAUGUUAGCGGCGGACGGGUGAGUAACACGUGGAUAACCUACCUAUAAGACUGGGAUAACUUCGGGAAACCGGAGCUAAUACCGGAUAAUAUUUUGAACCGCAUGGUUCAAAAGUGAAAGACGGUCUUGCUGUCACUUAUAGAUGGAUCCGCGCUGCAUUAGCUAGUUGGUAAGGUAACGGCUUACCAAGGCAACGAUGCAUAGCCGACCUGAGAGGGUGAUCGGCCACACUGGAACUGAGACACGGUCCAGACUCCUACGGGAGGCAGCAGUAGGGAAUCUUCAGCAAUGGGCGAAAGCCUGACGGAGCAACGCCGCGUGAGUGAUGAAGGUCUUCGGAUCGUAAAACUCUGUUAUUAGGGAAGAACAUAUGUGUAAGUAACUGUGCACAUCUUGACGGUACCUAAUCAGAAAGCCACGGCUAACUACGUGCCAGCAGCCGCGGUAAUACGUAGGUGGCAAGCGUUAUCCGGAAUUAUUGGGCGUAAAGCGCGCGUAGGCGGUUUUUUAAGUCUGAUGUGAAAGCCCACGGCUCAACCGUGGAGGGUCAUUGGAAACUGGAAAACUUGAGUGCAGAAGAGGAAAGUGGAAUUCCAUGUGUAGCGGUGAAAUGCGCAGAGAUAUGGAGGAACACCAGUGGCGAAGGCGACUUUCUGGUCUGUAACUGACGCUGAUGUGCGAAAGCGUGGGGAUCAAACAGGAUUAGAUACCCUGGUAGUCCACGCCGUAAACGAUGAGUGCUAAGUGUUAGGGGGUUUCCGCCCCUUAGUGCUGCAGCUAACGCAUUAAGCACUCCGCCUGGGGAGUACGACCGCAAGGUUGAAACUCAAAGGAAUUGACGGGGACCCGCACAAGCGGUGGAGCAUGUGGUUUAAUUCGAAGCAACGCGAAGAACCUUACCAAAUCUUGACAUCCUUUGACAACUCUAGAGAUAGAGCCUUCCCCUUCGGGGGACAAAGUGACAGGUGGUGCAUGGUUGUCGUCAGCUCGUGUCGUGAGAUGUUGGGUUAAGUCCCGCAACGAGCGCAACCCUUAAGCUUAGUUGCCAUCAUUAAGUUGGGCACUCUAAGUUGACUGCCGGUGACAAACCGGAGGAAGGUGGGGAUGACGUCAAAUCAUCAUGCCCCUUAUGAUUUGGGCUACACACGUGCUACAAUGGACAAUACAAAGGGCAGCGAAACCGCGAGGUCAAGCAAAUCCCAUAAAGUUGUUCUCAGUUCGGAUUGUAGUCUGCAACUCGACUACAUGAAGCUGGAAUCGCUAGUAAUCGUAGAUCAGCAUGCUACGGUGAAUACGUUCCCGGGUCU
rnacentral:rRNA from 1 species